GUGGAAAAGAACUCCAGCGCUCCAGGUGCACACGAUUCCUGCAGUUGGCAAUUGGGAGUCUGUGGCCCUGGGUCGCCAGCCUGGCAGCACUGUGUCUGGUGCUGGAGUCUCCAUGAGGAAGCUGUGUGUGGACACAAGUGCAAGUUUGCCUGCUCUUCAGCCUCUCCACGGCGUGCAUCUGAGGUGCAGGCUCGGCCAUAUUGCCCACACUCAGAAGAGAGCAUCAGGAACCUUCUGCUGUCAGGACAACUGGACCACGUGCCUCCCAUUCCCAGGUCCCAGCAUGCUGUGGCUGCCUCUGUUCAGCUGUGGUCUUCCUCCCGUGCAGCACGCUCCUCCCAGCCCCAUCGCUGUCUUUGCAGGCUGAUCAGCAUGGUCACGAACAUGGGGCCACACAGGGGAACUGGUGUCCCACGCCUGGCCUCUUCUUGCCUGAGAAUGCCCUCCUCAUCGCCCGACAAUUUCUCAGGUUGACUACCUUUUCAGACCUCAGACCACUGUGAUGCCAAACAGCAGCACAAACUCAUGCUUCCCUCAGUUUCCACAGAAAACCACGGAAUCAAGGAAAGACAAACAUGGGCAAUGGCAAAGUAGGGUGAAGCAAAAGACAACCACACCCCAAUCUCCAGGGAAACUUUUGCUGAUGUCACUGUGAAUGGUAACCAAUCGUCAAGUGUACCUCAGCCUCCUGAGUAGCUGGAACUACAGGCACAAACUACCUUUAGAGAUGGGGGUCUCAUUAUGUGUCCCAGGCUGGUCUGGAACUCGUGGCCUCAGGCCAUCCUCCUGCAUAUCUGGGAUUACAGUCACGAGCCACCGCACCUGGCUCUUCCUUCUUAACCAGUACAGGAGGCCCAUGAGGAAGGUGGAGAACAUGGGGACACACUCCCAACCAGCAAGGAUGCAGCCCAUGUGGGCUGGAGACAUUCUUCAUGCCCUGUUUUCAUACACUGUGACCAGCCCAGAGAGAUCUCUCCACUCAGAGAUGAAUGAGUGCAUCUUUCUUUCACCCACCAAUCACCCGCUGCAAUACAAUAUGCAAUCUCCAGUGUGUUUUAAGCACAACGAUUCAGCCCACCCUGACAUGGGCCUCCCCAAAUCUUUACCCAAACAGGUCCACUCCAAACCAUAUUAACAAGCCACGAGGCCUUUAUCAGGGAUUUUGUAGGUGUUCAGUGUAGAGGGUUUAUGCUGCAAACCCUAUGGUAUAACUUCACUUAAAAAUCUUCCAAAUAUAUCUUUUCCCCUGAAUUCUCUCCUGGAGUCAGCAGCCGUGUUUUCCUCCUGAGAGUCUCUGUGUCCGGGCCUCUCUGGCUGGGCUGCUGCAGCCCCUGACUUCCCUGCACAGUUCCUCUUAGUCUCUCCCAUUUGCGUCUUCAUUCUCAUUCGCUGCUGGCCUAACAUAGAUUGUCCUUGGGAUUUGACCCUGAGCUGGAGGCCGCUGGUACUCUCCCAUGCCUGCCCUCCCUUCUCUCUACAAUAAUGCAUUUGGAAUUUUUAGUUGGGUGAACAACCACCCAGAGUAGACUCUACUUGCUUGUGAGGUGUGACCGUGUGAUCACUCCGAUGGGACACGAGUGACUUAUGGACACCACCUCCAAGAAGGGCUCUGAAGAGUGGGGACGACACACUCUUUCUCAGCCCUUGCCUCCUUUCUCCGGGAAUACUGUGGUUAGAAUCAGGACAGCCCCCCCGGAGACUGUGUGCUGAAGCUCUGUGCCUGAGCCUCAAAGUGAAAGUAGAGAGAAAGAACAUGGGCCCCUGAUGGAUGAUUCAACCUUUUAUUUCAACUGAAAAAAAUGUUUCCAAGUUUUCUGUGUUGUAUUUUUUUCUACAUGCAUUAGUUUUACCAUCCAUAAAAAAAUUCCACCAUUUGAGACUUAUUUUAAAUUUUACUCUAUCGACUUCCAUGAUUUUCUCCUAUCACAGAAAAAAUAAAAUAAUUGAU
ensembl:lncRNA